rnacentral:rRNA from 1 species
CAGGGGUGACAGUUACUCUCACCGCAUGUUCUUCUCUAACAACAGAGCUUUACGACCCGAAGGCCUUCUUCGCUCACGCGGCGUUGCUCGGUCAGACUUUCGUCCAUUGCCGAAGAUUCCCUACUGCUGCCUCCCGUAGGAGUAAGGA